GGCGCGUUAGUAAAGCGGUUAUACAGCGGAUUGCAAAUUCGUAUAGUCCAGUUCGACUCUGGAACGCGCCUCCA
rnacentral:tRNA from 4 species